GUUCGUCACUCAUACCCCCCUGGAGUGAACGGACGGGCAGCCACUUUCUGCCCUUCCCUGCUGUCUCGGCUCGCUCUCUUGAGUCUGUUCAUUUCUACACCAAGGUCACGAAACCCUCCCUUGCUAUUGCGAGAUCAGAGUCCUUUAUCUGAUAAAUUCUGUGACAGUUUUGCCAACCACGAAGGGACCCUUGUGCUCAGGAUUCUCCAGGAACCGGGCACCCAAGCGCGCUCAAAGGAAAACUCAGGAUGGAAGAAAGAUGGCACAUGCAGAACUCUAGAUGCAUAAAGGAUGAACACCACAGAGAUGGGAAUCAGUGUAGUUAUCUGCUGUAAUUGGAUAAGUACUGUACAGGAUAUUGAAUAUCUGGAAUGCCAAGAAGAGGUCAUUUGACAUUUCGUGCCAGGCAUGUUUCAAUGCAAGUAACUUUGACAGAAUGGAGAGAAAUACACAUUUCCUCAACUUUC